rnacentral:rRNA from 1 species
GACGAACGCUGGCGGCGCGCCUAACACAUGCAAGUCGAGCGAAGCGGCGAACGGGUGAGUAACGCGUGAGGAACCUGCCUCUCACAACGGGAUAGCCUCGGGAAACCGUGAUUAAUACCGUAUGGGGAGAGAUGGCCUCGCGUCUGAUUAGUUAGUUGGUGGGGUAACGGCCUACCAAGACGACGAUCAGUAACCGGCCUGAGAGGGUGAGCGGUCACAUUGGAACUGAGACACGGGCCAACCUACUACGGGAGGCAGCAGUGGGGAAUCUUGCACAAUGGGGGGAAGCGGGAUACAGCGAGGCGGGGUGAGCGAUGAAGGUGUUCGAAUCGUAAAGCUCUGUCCUAUGGGAAGCGGUACCAUAGGAGGAAGCCCCGGCUAACUACGUGCCAGCAGCCGCGGUAAUUC